GUGCAGUGAUGAACAUUUUUCUGUGUACCAGAGGAGUCUCCUGUGACGGUAACACAAUCCCUCUAAGAAGUUCUGAGCUU
rnacentral:snoRNA from 1 species